CUGUAUAAGAAAUGAGGAAGGGAGGCUAUACUUUUAUAGUUAUACUUUUUGUUUGCAAAUCCCUUUUUAUCCUUAGAUUGAUUAAAGGUAGGGCCUCCCUUCCUCAUUUCUUAUACAGUG